rnacentral:lncRNA from 1 species
GGUUGCCAUGCUACCGUUUUGGACAACAGUGAUGUAGGAUAUUUCCAUUGUUGCAGAAAGUUCUCUGGGUUAGCACUGGUCUAGAGUCGUGGAAGUUGAAUCUAAAACCCUAGAGCCAAGGAAUGGUGGAAUCUUAGAAAGAGGGGGUGAGUCGUGUCAAAAUGUUGGCGUCUUGGUAUCAUGAAUGGACUCCCAGGAUAGUCCUGGUCCUGAAAGGGGACAGCACUUCCCCUCACUUUGAGGUGCCAGCCCCACCAUCAAAGCUUGGCUACCUCAAGGAGGGGCUUGGGAGUCCCAGAAGGGUCCAAACCUGGAUGAAGAGGCAAGCAGCUGGCAGAGCAUCUUUCCUUCAGGCCCACCAGUUGGAUGUGAACGCUGGAAGACAGCUUCAUCCCUUAAUCCAGAGCACCUGGCGGAGAACAGAUAACAAGGGACGGUUCCUCCUUCUCACCUUUGGGGUGAAUCAGAAACACGCGCAAGUGAGCCCGGGGAAGGCGCCACCCGCUCCCCUCUUUCGAGGCAGAUAUCUUAGUUCUCGCCGUAUCUCCAAUCCUCUUCUCCUUCAGGGAAUGGGAGAAGAUUACCUGAAGUUGAGCACGGUCACAGAGGCAGAGGGAACGCGUGUCACUUCCGGACGGGAGAGAUCAAGAGCCAGUGCAUGACUCUCUGCUCCUUCUUUCCCCACUAGGGCCACACGCGUGUUACAGAGCAGCUGCAAGAUCGAAUCUUCCCGGGUCAUCGACUUGCUCCGCAAAGGGCAGUUUCCCUGGAGAGCCCCCCAAAGUCAUCAUGAACUUGGUGAAAUAAGAAAUAAGCAUCAGCUUCGCUACGUUGCUAAGGUUGGGGGCUGUUUGUCACGGCAGCAUAACCUGGCCCGUCCUGUCUGAUACCUCCAGCUCUGAACCCCACUCUGCCUUCCCCAGGGGGCUCCUGCCUACCCCUCAAAAUCUCCAGUCUAAGGUGGCCGAUGCUUGUGGCCAGUGGGGGUCCCAGGCCAUCUGGGCUGGGUCAUCG